CGAACGCUGGCGGCGUGGUUUAGGCAUGCAAGUCGAACGAGAACGCUUCCUUCGGGAAGUUAUUAAAGUGGCGAAAGGGUGAGUAAUAUAUGGAUGACUUACCCUCGAGACGGGGACAACAGCUCGAAAGGGCUGCUAAUACCCGAUAGUUCUGGUAGCUUACGGGCUUCCGGAUAAAUGGUAAUUCCGCUCGAGGAGAGGUCCAUGUCCUAUCAGCUUGUUGGUAAGGUAAUGGCUUACCAAGGCGAUAACGGGUAGCCGGACUGAGAGGUUGGCCGGUCACACUGGGACUGAGACACUGCCCAGACUCCUACGGGAGGCUGCAGUCGAGAAUCUUACGCAAUGGGCGCAAGCCUGACGGAGCGACGCCGCGUGCAGGAAGAAGGCUUUCGGGUUGUAAACUGCUGUAACAUGUUAAGAAAAGUUAUGGUUAACCAUAACCUUGACAAAGGCAUGAGAGGAAGUCACGGCUAACUUC
rnacentral:rRNA from 1 species